ACUUAUUUUAUCACUCUAUAAAUACACACACCCGCUCACAGCCGUCAUCUGCCUGCAAGGGCUUAAACCCUAGGCCCCAAAUCCGCCGAACAACAACCCUAGAGUUCGCAGGGCUUUAACACUCUUUCAUCUCUCAAUCUUAGAGUUCGUAGUCUAUAUAAUUUGCGUUUCCAUUGAUCAAAUUGUUUGGUGGUUAAAUUGAAGAGCAAGUAAGAAUUGGGCAACUUUGCCGAGGUGAUAUACUUAUGUUGAUCGCCUCUUUUCCCUGUUGCCUAUAUUGUGAAAUGUCAAGCUUGGAGCUAUAUUGAAUGGUAUUAGCAUUUUUUAUUUUGAUACCAGUCACCUCUAGCAUGACUAAAUUUCUUCAUCUUGCUUAAUUAAUCUUUAACAAACCAUUGUGAAUCAUGUAUGCAUAAUCAAGUUUGCAUUUUUAGUGAUCAGAUCAUUUUAUUGUACUUUUUGAUCUGAAGAAGUUUGGCUGGGAUCAUGAUUACCUAUAUGACGAGGAUGUUAAUGGCUAUGGAUUUAUAUCCAAUGAUGCUUUCAUUGUCAUAGUUACACUGAUAGGGCAUCAUGUUUCACUGUUCUAUUAGGUCUUUUUUCCUUUGCACAUGUUAAGUUGAUUUUUUUAGAAUAUUUGUUACUCGCCUUGCUCAAUAUUGGAGUUUGAAAUGGCCUCUUUGUGCUUAGAAUGUAUACAAUUUGCUUUUGAGUCUCGAAGUUAGAUUGGUUCAAAUUUAUUAUGUGUCUUGCGCAAUUUCAUGGUGUCCAAAAUAUAGUCUUGCAAAGUUAGGUUCUAGAUACUGUUUUAGGGCAUUUAUUUUGUGAGUCCCAUAUCUUGUGAUUUUCCAAUGGGAGUAUGGGACAAAGGUCCAAAUGUUAGAUACUAUUAUAAAUGAACAUAUACUGAAAGAAACUUGAAUCACGAGGAACCUGAUCUCGUAACAAUGGAAGCAUUACUUAAUCUGAUCCUAAUGCUUCUGUUGUUACGAGGUCAAGUUCCUCGUGAUUCAAGUCUCUUUCAGUUUAUGUUAGUUUAACAGUAAUUCUUGAGGUUACUCCUACAUAUGGUUGAAGAAUUGGCUUAGCACAUUUCUUUACAAGAUUUGCAGCUCUCAACACCUGAGGUGGGUACCACAUGAAGAAGAAUAAAGGCUGAAGAUGCAUCCUCUCAAGUUUCGACCAUUUGUCUCUUUUGCCAUCUUAACAAAGAUGAUGUUCCAUAUUUAUUUUUGUUGACAUUUCCUAGUUCUCUUUUACCCUUGUAGCCUUGUUUACACUAAAAUCUAUUUCAUUAUUUUUAAAGGUUAUAAUUCCUUAAAUUUCAUUUGUAGUUUUUAA